CCUACGGGUGACAGCAGUGAGGAAUAUUGGUCAAUGGGCUUACGCCUAAACCAGCCAAGUCGCGUGAGGGAAGACUGCCCUAUGGGUUGUAAACCUCUUUUGUCAGGGAGCAAUUGGCGCUACGUGUAGCGUUAUCGAGAGUACCUGAAGAAAAAGCAUCGGCUAACUCCGUGCCAGCAGCCGCGGUAAUACGGAGGAUGCGAGCGUUAUCCGGAUUUAUGGGGUUAAAAGGGUGCGUAGGCGGAAUGCAAAGUCAGCGGUAAAAUCGCGGGGCACAACCUCGAUCCGCCGUUGAAACUGGCGUUCUUGAGUGGGGGAGAGGUAUGCGGAAUGCGUGGUGUAGCGGUGAAAUGCGUAGAUAUCACGCAGAACUCC
rnacentral:rRNA from 1 species